ensembl:lncRNA
UCAAACUCGCCCAGACCACCAAUACUGCCACUGCAGCCACUGUCCUAAAUCAGGUUCUUUCCAAUGUGGCCAUGUCCCAGCCUCUCUUCAACCAUCUUCGGGGCUCCAGCAUGGCCCAAGCCCACAGUGGGACCUUUCCACCUCCACCCAUAGCCUUCCCACCACCAAAUGCUGCAUUGGGACAACUGGUUGGUGGUGGCUUUGCCCCAAAUCCCACAGGAAUCAGGCCCACCAGCUAUAGUGGGGUGUCCAACCAGAAAGCUAGUCAGCACAAUGAUUUCAGCAAAAUGGCUGGAACAUUUUCGACGGACACGGACCGUCGCUUGCAGUUUGGAUAUCUGGGAGGGGCUUCAGUGGUCACUAGUAAAGCAUGUGAUGUGGGACAGUAUGGUGGAGCCACUACACAACCCAGAAACAAUGUCCAUGGCAAUUUUCAAAGGGAUUUCUAUUCCUCAGAAACACCAGUACAACAAACUUGUUUCAUGGGAGGAAGCAAUGAUCAGAAUUUGGGAUCAGCCUCAUCAGCCUCUAAGGAUCAAUGGAAAGGUCCGAUCAACUUGGGGAAGAUGGAUAUAGGUACAGGAACAGGUUCUGGUGGUUGGGUACCACCUGGACCAGGGUUUGUGGGUCAGAGAGCAGAGUUGUAUAACCCAGAGGAACCCACAGCAGAUCCUAAGUUCAACUCAACAUGUGGCCCAGGGAUUGGCCCACCCCUUGGGCAGCAAGGGGGAUUUCAACAGCAGCCACAGGUUUCCCAGAGUGAGGAAAGGGUUACCUUGCAAUUGCAAUCCCACCAGUUCAGUGACUAUCAUGGGACAACACCUUCACACCUACCACAUCAGUGCACCAUUUGUGAGAAGAAGGUUUACAACCUGAAGGUGAGAUUAAAGGAAAUGGCCCAUUCGCACCAGCCUCAAAUAUGGAAUGGCAUUUACACUACAAAUGUGAUGUGUUUUCAACUACUCUGAAUGUUGGCUGGAUCAGACACAAUUUAGGAUUCCGUUACCACCUGUAUUUAAUAAUGUCCAGUUGAGAUCAGAUGACACAAGAUGGGAUCAAAAAAAUAUUGGACCUUGUUCAUACUUGUAUUUAAUCCUUCUUGUGAUCAGACAACAAAGACGGAUCUCAAUACUAGGUUUUAACAGAAUCAAAUAGUUAAGACAAACCUCACAAAGCUCUUAAGUUUUUUCCCUAUACAUGUGUCCUAAAUUUAUGUAAAGCUUUGAAUUCUGCUAAUGAACUGUGGACCAUAUCUACUUAAGUCUGUCCUGAUGUCUC